rnacentral:lncRNA from 1 species
GCUGGACCGGUGGAACUUUCAAUCCGGAUGGAACCUGUGGGCUGAUUGACAGGACCUGAGGUGUCAGUAGGUCUCUCUUCAGCAAUAAGAUCAUCGUCCUGCUGCGGUGGAUCGUUGGGUAUAUCCUCAGGAAUAGCCGCUUCAAGAUUGGGUGUCUUGCCUGGUUCAAGAAUGACAUCUUCUUCGGCCGCUUUGUCCUGGCGGUCCUUCUUGCUUGGCCUAGGUUUGGCCCUGAGAAGAAUAAAAAAAUCAAAUACAGCAUAUGUUCUAAGGCAAUGUACUGCAAACAUUACAAUAAGUAUAGCUUACCCAAGCACCGUUUUGAGCGGUGGGAGCUGAGUAGCCGAUGACUCGCCAGAAGAUGAGUGGGAAGUAACUUGGUAAUCGGAGUCAGACGGAUUAAGAGGUUGACGAAAGCAGCCCGCUUUAGGACAAGCACUGACAAGCAAAUUAGAGACCUCUGAAUGGCGUUUCCGAACCGGACUGUUCGGUAAACCGGCGGAGGUAACUACCUGGCCGCUGUGCCGGGUGGUACGACGAGCUUCGUGUUGUUGGGUCUUCAUAAGAAGUUUAGGAUCCAAAUAAGCAAGAGGAUGAGAAAAUUUAACUUUCCAGUUUGCCUGACGGAUUUUUUGUGAAGGCAAAGUUUCUGAAUCAGAAGAGAGAAUAAUUACCUCUGCAACAUCCGCGUGGCUGGCUUCGGCAUCAUCCUGACAAAUAUCAUCAUCAAUAAGACGCACGAAAAAUAAACCAAGUGAGUCAAGCUCUACCUCAAAGUCCGGAUUAUCCACCUCAUCGUCAGGGGCCGGAUUAGAAGAUGCAGUGGUUCUUUUCCUGUGGGCAGUCUUCUUCACAGCUUUAGUCUUUUGCCGAGUUGCUCUUUCCGGUUUGUCUGGUUUUUCUGGUUUCUCCCGCGGCAGUUUUUUGCUCCAAAACGGAUCAUUGCCCUGAUUAUGCAAAUACUGAUAUUAAAAACAAUGACCAGACAUAUCAAUAACAGAUUCAGCAAAGAGAAAAAUCAAAAUCUUACAGCUAGCGGUUUGUUGGUGGCACAGAAGGGAAGCAGGCCGGUUCUAGCGCAGACGGGUUCCGGUUCAUUCAGUAUCUUAUGCACAGCCUCUGUGAUUUCUUCAUCGGAGAGCUGGAGUUUUGAAUGUCGCAGUGGGUCAUCAACACUGUCAGUAUACUCGCACAUCAAACUGGAGCGCUGACUAAGGGGCAGUAUGCUCCAUGAUAUCCAACAGCGAGCGAGAUCAACCCCUGUUAAACCGUUGGCCAUAAAGGCUCUAAGCUUUGACAGCUGGGGAGCAUAUUUGCUUCUCUCCUGGGCAUUCAAUCUUUGAGGAAAAGGGUAUGUAUUGCUGAGCCGCUCCGGACGAAAGCCAGGCAAGGGAUUCUCACCAGUAGGGGAGGUGUCUUUGCAGUAGAACCAUGUCUGAUUCCACUCCUUGGGGUGACUGUGCAGCUUGGCGUGAGGGUAUGUGACCUCUUUCCUUUUCUGAAUCGCCAUGCCACCCAACUCCGUAUUAGAGCCAUCAGUAAACUCAGUACGGCGGUUUAGAUGGAAAAGGUCUCUGAACAAUUCCACUGUGGGCUCCUCUUGAAAGAACACCUUACAGAGCACUUGGAAGUGGCACAUAUUUGUAACAGAGUUGGGGCCAGUGUCUUGCGGAUGGAGUUGGAAAUCGGCUAAAACAUCCCGGUAAAAUUUAGAACCGGGCGGCUUAAAGCCCCGGGCUAAGUGAUCUACGAAAACAACAACCUCUCCUUCUCGAUGUGUGGGAGGGCAUUCUUUGCCAGGAGCCCUCCAAUGGAUGGUAUCUUUGCUGCCUAAAGCGCCAAUCAGGACUAAAUCGUCCAGUUGAUCCUCUGUGACGCGAGAAGGAACCCAAUUGCACUCAUAUACUUGCUUGGCCAUGAUGGAAUCUACAAGGUAGAAGAUCCCGGUUCAGAAAUGCAUUUGAUCAAGGUACGUUGGUAUGGGCACUGUUAAACUAGAGACAGAACUAUCUGAACCGGAGUUUCAUGAAGCAACCAACAUCUGGCGGUUCAACAAGGGGACUAAUGGCAUAUACCAGUUUGGAAAAUUUUCUAUAAGGUUAAACCGCCUGAUCUAAGUAUUGAAAAGCUGAGAUUGCGGAUGGACAAGUACGCACAAACAGGUUUCGCAAGAUUUCUUUACAGCAUUGGAUCUGAAGCAAGUUCAGAGAAGAGAUAAAUACUUAGAGGUUCAAAGGAGCAGUACCGAACCAAUGAGCAAAACGUUCAUAUAGACCCAUGGUUUGAGAUGCAUAAGUAAAGGCGAAGGUCAAACAACUAUCAUUGCACAGAAUAAAGAUUUGCGGAUUCAUCUAAAGAUCUAUUGUAUGAGCAAGAGGCAGACGAUGAACACUGAAGAACUGCGAAACCCUAGGCCAGAUCUGCAGGGGGAAAGAUAGAAGAUUUACCGGAGCUGAGGAAGAUGCGGAAGGUUGCCGCGAUGUUCUGGUGUGCUCAGGUUGAUGCAGCGGCCAAGGAUGAGGCAGAGGUCAACGGCGGCGGCGGAGCUCCGAGGCUGGCGACGCGAGGAAGAUGAAGAAGGCACGGAAGGAGAAAAGAAAUGACCCUUCGGUCCUAUUUAUAAGGCAAAAGAACAUGAGUCAGGCGCGACAAUCAAGGGGCCACAAAACGGAGUUGUUGCCUCGAUUUCCGCCGAUCUAUUAAACAAAGAAGCAUAAUGGAUAGCUUCGUUAUGACAGGUGACAUCACUCCGGUUUACAGCAAUCAGAGAAGAUGACAUCAUGGCGGUUUACCAAUUUAUAAGAAGAUGUUGAAGAUGAAGAUUUUAUUAAAGGAUUGACAUGAACCCGUUCAAAUCAAUUUGGGGCCUAAUGUUGGGGAUAUUACUACUGGGCGUAAACCGGCCUAUCUGGGCUGGGUUAACUUCGUCAGUAGUUAAGCCCAAGAAGACAGAGGAGGGCUCAAGGCCCAUGGUCGGCUCAAGGCCUGCAGCCGUAAACCGGCGUUAGUAGUUAACCUGUAUUGUAAGUUAGGAAUAAGAAGAGACCAAACCAGACACAUCUAUGAGCCGGUAUUGGGACUUCGUAAGCCGACGAGAGUCACCCGUGUAUAUAAGGGGACGACCCGGCGGCGGUUCAAGGACAACAGACAACAACUCGAGACAUAGGUGAAACUUGUUUGCUCCCUAGUCAUCGAAACCCCAUCAAUUCCAUCACAACUAGACGUAGGCUUUUACCUUCAUCGAAGGGGUCGAACUAGUAUAAACUCUCUUGCGUCCUUGUGUCCGCUUUAACCCCUUCAAGCUAACCCGUCGCGAUGGCUCCACGACUAAGUCCUUUCUCUAGGACAUCUGCCGUGACAAAACCACGACACUAUGGUUAGGUUUACCUUAAUACUUUUGUUGUAGUUGCGGAUGCUUGUAAUAGAGGUUAUCAUAAGUGGGAUGCUUGUUCAAGUAAGAAUAGCACCCAAGCACCGGUCCACCCACAUAUCAAAUUAUCAAAGUAUCGAACGUGAAUCAUAUGAACGUGAUGAAAACUAGCUUGACGAUAUUCCCAUGUGUCCUCGGGAGCGCUUUUCCUAUUAUAAGAGUUUGUUCCGGCUUGUCCUUUGCUAUAAAAGGAUUGGGCCACCUUGCUGCACCUUAUUUACUUUUGUUACUUGUUGCUCGUUACAAUUUACCUUAUUACAAAACUAUCUGUUACCACUUAUUUCAGUACUUGCAGAGAAUACCUUGCUGAAAACCGCUUAUCAUUUCCUUCUGCUCCUCGUUGGGUUCGACACUCUUACUUAUCGAAAGGACUACGAUAGAUCCCCUAUACUUGUGGGUCAUCACAUCGCAGACACAUAGACACGUGAAGUGUAUCACAUGAGGAUACAUCAAAUACAAGCAGUGAAUCAACGGUAGAAGUGAAAGAGCCACAGUUUUAAAGUGACUAGAGGCACGGGCGUGUACAAGCACGGGCACGACGAGUCACAGCCACCGCAUCCCCUCACGGACAGGCAUCUGGCACCACAGGCACGUAGAGUCACAGCCGGCGUGUCUCCUGAGACAAGCGAAUGCAGGUACAGGACGCACAGAACUGCAGCGUAUACAGGCACGGAAUUGCGACUUUUGUCGCACAGGUACGGCUUUCGAAUUGGCAUUCUCGAGGCACGGGUACAAACCACCUGAACGCACAAAAGAGUGGUGGCAGAGGCACGAUUGUGUACUCUGAAGAGAAACUGCCGUGUGACACCACCACAUAGAGACAUUGCGUGUGUCACGUGAGGUACAUGAAUAGCGGAAAAGAAGCCAUGGAAGUGCAGCCUCCACAGACACGGAUGCGGGCUUCUAGAGGCACGGUCCCGAAGGACACAAAGACUGGAAAAUGAAAAUUGUUGCCUCGUACGUUACCAGACGUGUGUCUCUUGUGCGAAUGUGUAAAACACAACAAUACAAACACAAACAAACAGCGGUGAGUAUAAGCCAAACAAAAAACACGCUUCUCCCAAACAAUACAUAUGCGUCCCCUCAUGGACGGGCGUCUGGCACUAGAGGCACGUAGAGUCACAGCCAGCAUGAUGCCUGAGACACGCAAAUGCACGUACAGGAGACACCGAAUUACAGCGUAUACAGGCACGGAAUUGCGGCUUCUCAUCGUUAUCGAAGCACGGGUACAAACAACCUGGACGCACAAAAGAGUGGUGGCAAAGGCACGGAUGUGUAGUGUCAAGAGGAACUGUCGUGUGAAACCAGCACGUUACAGACAUGGUGUGUCUCACGGAUGUACAUGCAUAGAAGGAAAGAAGCCAUAGAAGUGAAGCCUAAACAUACACGGAUGAACGGAUUCUCGAGGCACGGUCCUAAAGCACACAAAACACGAAACUAAAAUGUUGCCUCGUACGUUAGCAGACGUGCCUCUCUUGUGCGAACGUGUAAAAGACAACAAUAUAAACACAAUCAAACGGCACUGAAUAAAAGUCAAACACAAAACGCGCUUUUCCCAAACAAUACAUAUGCGCCACUUCAACAGGUUCUCUAAAUAUACAUGAACUCGCGCAAACAUCAACAAUGAACUUGUAACAUGAAAAAACAUAAGAAAUUAUAUUCACAUAACAUGAGACGGUACUCCAUAGGAUUGAACUAAAAGUACUCAUUAAUUAUACAAAAAAAGAAAUGAAAGCCUUCCAGGAAUCCAUUCUGCUCAGACCACCAGGAUGAUUCUACUCAACUGGAGUUCUGCUCAAAACCAUCAACGGCGUCCGGGGUCGGGAAGACAACGAGGAUGCAUCAUGUCCUUCAUAGACAGAACUCGGCGGUAGAGCUCAUAGCUGACAUACCCAUCCUAAAAUAAAAGGCGAAUGAGAAUGAACAUAUACGUUAAGGGGAAAAAGUACUAUUGUUGCAAUAAAACAAAUAUAUGAAGACGAAAUUUUCACUUAGAAUUGCCGCAUAUUUCAGGUGUUCAAGGGAAAGCGGCUUCCAUUCCCAGUAGUCAUGCAGACAUUGUGGAAAAGACGACUUCAUACUCAAGUAAGAUUUGUUUAUGACGGCUCCUGCCAAAUCUGCCAUUGAAUCCCUUAGAUUGCCUCCUUUGAUCAUGAGCUCCUCUUGAAGGUCGAUGUGACACUCUCUUGGGAUUUUGAGGUAACUGUUUGCGAGAACAUCCCUAUCGUUCCUGACGUCGACACUAGCGAAAAUUAUACCUUUGUUCUGAAGGAAAUCCUUCAGAGCAACGCACUCCGUCCUGGCCUUGCACAAGUGAUAAACAAGAACAUGCUUGCGCAUCGCUAGUUGCAUAACGGCAACUUUUCUACUACGAUCAAAAUAAUCCUCUCGUGUGUACUCGAGAUCAAGACCAACAUACUUGUACCUGUCCUCACGCAGCCAUUCCUCAUAGAAAGUAAGAAUCUCCUCCACCUUGUGGGGCUCAUUAGUGUACAACACAUCGAGCUUGGUAUUACCAUCAGCAUCUAUAGAGAGACGCUCAGUAGUGUUCCUAAAGUCGUCCAUGGAACCAAGGCUGAGACGACAAUGGAGUUUGACUAUGCUUCUCGUAUGAGUCGAGGAUGACGGGAGCUACCUGCACUUCUCUGGAGGGAAUAAGACGCGAUAACCUCCAGGAAUAGACCACUACUUAACCUUUGGGGAGAGACAACUCAGUUACCAUGCGCCCAUUUAAUUGCUAAUUAAACGGUGAAUGGACGAUUGUGCUUCUGCAGCUCGUGAAACAAUGCACUUCAAAAGUCAUGACUGCCAUGCUGUAAUCGAGGAGCACCUAGAUUGACUCUAGCACGGUACUGGCACAAUGAAUACUAACAAUAAAUAGCCAUCCCAUCGGUCACCAGCACAUCUUUUGACCGAGAGAACAAUGAGAGGAAGCAAAUAAGAUGACCCUGUCGUACAAAUACUACACGGGGACUGAACAAAAAUAGAAGCACGGUUCGGCCAGCACAAAAGCCACACGCGUGCCUCCACUUUACUUUAAAGACAAACCUCAGUGAUAUCAACGGAACUGCAUCUCUAUGUCUGCAUACCACCGAAAACAUUGCCAAAACAAAAACACGUCCAUGCUUCUCACAUACAAAUAACUGUGGGCUAUCAUAGAUAUUCCCGCCUGAACCCAACGUACAUAAAAACAGUGGCUCCCUGGGUCAACGACUGCUUGAAAAAAAUUUGCAAUAACAGAGUCAUGGACCGUGACUCCAUUCCAGAUACAAAAGUGCAUCUCAUUAGGAACCAUCAUGCCUCCCCUCAAUUUGCCUCCCCCGACGUAUCGACCAUGCCUCUCCUGCUACAACGACUGUGCAUCUAAUAACAUCAUCACCGUUCCUCUCCUAAAGACACACCCAACUCUAUAUUAUUAAACAUGUGAUUAAAAAAAUUAAAACACAGAAGCACGAGUAUGCUUUUUAGCAUGUAUAACGGCGCCUCGCAAAAAGUAUGUGAGGUAGGAUAGGCACGUAAAAGACUCCGCUCGGACGUAGCACAGCUGGACAACUAUAAUGGGAGGCAGUUGGACGAGUCAAACAUCUCGUGUCCCCAUAACACCUCGGAAUACACGCACACCAUCUACAACCAGCAUUCAUUCCAUUUCGCAGAAUAAAAAAUAAAACAAGAAGCACUCAUUACUACUCUCGCUCUUUCCCGUCUCCUUUAUGUUUCAAUAAGCUCUGACUCCCUCAGCCACAACACAACUCAUUUGCCUUCUCCGUCGCCUGCUUCUAGGGUUCGUGCUUCUUCUCCGUCUCCUGCUUCUAGGGUUCGUGCUUCUAACUCGCACACAAUCGAUUAAUUUCUAAGCCAUACUUCUCUCGUAGAUUGCUGGCCGUGGGUGCUUUCCCUAAGCUUCCCAUCACAAGCCAUCUGCCUUAUCCGUUCGCCUACUUCUAAGGUUCGUGCUUCUUCCCCACACACAGUCUCAUUUCAAACAAGUUAUUGUAGAGUUUUUAUUGGGUCUCUUGAUUAACUUCCAAGCCUUGCUUCUCUCAUAGAUUUUGCUAGCCGUGUGCGCUUGCCCUAAGCUUCCCCUACCCAAAUCUCCAUUCGUCAACCCUCGUUCUUCUUCUGUCACAAGUAAAAAGCAUAUGCGUAAGCAGCAUGCUCCGAUCCGUAUUUACGUUUUACAUUUAGGUUUUUCAUUUGAUAGUUAUUGAAGCAUCAGAUCCGGUACAACAACUUCAUUCUCUAACGAAAUAUAAAAACCAUUUGAAAAUCUAAACAAGUGUUAUAAACUCUGUAAUACUGAUUUUCUCGAAGGAGUAGAUGAGAAGAUUUAUGGUAAAUUUGUAGUUGGUGCCUGCCUUCAAUAUGGCUAACAUAUUUGAAGCUAGCCAUUGUCUACCUUCCACGUUGAAGCUUGUUUUUAAAUUGUUAUGAUAUUCUUGUUUUCUUAACAUAGUUUUUCUGAAAUAUUUAGGUAUGAUUUGCCCUGCCUGCUGCCAACCAGGCGGCCCUUGCGAACCACACCAUGAAGUUAUCCAGGAGUUUGAGGUUAUUCUUGAUGAAAAUUGCUGGAGCCGCAUGGUUAGUAAGCAUCACUAACAAAUUAGUUGCUUACAACACAGUAAAAAUCGUCACUGUCACUCAUACCCCCUUGCACCUACACUAGGUCCCCCUGCUGCCACUUCUUCGCACCUGCCUUGUGUUUUCAUUUUCCAUUAGUUUGCUUGCUUAUGCCCUGAUUAAUAUAGUCCAUUAAUUUAUAAUACAAUUAUGUUGUUAUCUGUAAUUCUUAUCAAAAAUUCAUAUCCAAUUUAAGAAAACUUUUAACAUUAAUAGUACGCAAGUUCAAAUUUAUACUUACAGGUUGUUAUUUGCACUAUUUUUUCCAGUAUGUACCUUGUAAUGUCAAAGCUUUUCUCGCUAAAUACAUUGAAGAGGAGAAGAAAGAAGCAAGAAAAUUGCGUAAACAGCAGGUAGAGCCAGCCCUUCUUACACAUGAAGGAAGGUCUUACAAUGCUUUGUUUAAGUAUAGGGCGAACUACACAAAGUUCUGCGGUGGUGAGUGAAACAUCUUUGCGGCUGAUUAUGAACUUCGUGCUGGAGACCGCAUAGAAUUUGAACUACCAGACGAGGGUCUCAAUCUCGAAAUACAAACAUAUCAAGAUAACAAAAGGCUGCUUCCAUUACCCCACGUUGGUAGGUAUUUAAUAUUACAAACAUUACAAACUUAUCUUCUUUCGCUGUAAUUUUAUAUGCAUGAAUCGAACUGAAUAAUAUUAACCCCACGUUGGAUAUAAGUUUAUCUAACUUUAAAAGCUUUUUCUUUUUCUAGCUCUCGAUGAUCUUUCUUCUGACGAUUUCGACCAUGUUCACUGUUGUGUCUACUCUAAGGAUAUUGAGCUUACCUACGACCAGACACGACUCUUUCUACAACGCCUUUUCGGAGAUACUUUCAUCCGUUGCCGUCCAUUUGUCCAUGCCCUAACUCACACUAACACCAAAGACUACGUCAUGGUUGGUUACAACUGUCCUUGUUAAAAUACCAAACGUAUUUUGCUCAUAUGUAAUAUAAACAAUACUGACGUAAUAUUGCUUAUAUGUAAAAUUAUAAAGAACCUAUUUAUUCAAACCUAAAACAACAAAACUUCCGUUGUUCUCUUAAUAUGUUGUUUUGUCUGUUUACAAACCAAACCUGAACAUGCCAGGAACUAUAUUACUUCCAAUAUGGAAUUUCUUAAUGUUUGUGCACUCACCAUAUUCAGACAUUCUUUUAUUUAUUGUCCAAGUGACAAAUCAAUGGUUUUAAUUUCUAUUUAAUUUUGAUUUUCUUCUAGAAAAUUCCAAGGAGCGUUGUCUCAACACUGAAGAGAUGGGUGGACAUGCCAACCAAUGGCAGGGUAACCCUUGAAGCUCCUGAUGAACAUACACAUGUCAUCACUCCUUCAUCGUACUACAUCUCCAAAAACGACGGCAGGAUGGUAAUACAAAAGUCUUCUUUCAGAGACUUCAUAUCAGUUGCAUCCUUCGUUGAAAAGAACGUUGUUCUAAUCACUUUCAAAGAGCGAAAUGACCAUUCUGUGUCCAUCAUCAUUCAACGCAUUAUGUAGAUUCCGUCGGAACCAGCACCUAAAAUGGAAGCAAACAGUGUAUCUCCUAGAAUGUUCAACGCUCGUUUCAUCAUGAUGCCUCCAGGAGCAAAACACUGAUUACUAUAAGUUUGCUAGAUAGGAUGGUAGAUUAAUUUAACUAUUAUGGACCAUGUGCAUGCUUGAACUAUCGGAAUAAUCUUUUGCAACUUAUGAAGCUCUUACAGACACUCAACUUGUUGUUUCAACCAUCGGAAUGAUCCUUUAAAACAAAUGUUGUUUGAACCAUCGAAAUGAUUCAUUCGAAAAAAUGUAGUUCUUAUCCUUUGAAAAGUUCACAAUUCAAAAAACCAAAAAACAAAAAGAUUCAUUUUCAAAAAUGAAACGAAACAAGAAUCAGUUUGUGAUUCAAAACCUCUAGCAAUACGAUGUUAUCAAACUUAUUCAAACCAUCUAGUGAAACAUAUCUCAAUUAAAAACCAAACAGGACUCCAUUUUCAAGUCCAAACUAUAUCUAGUUCAACUUUUCCUAAACACACACUUAUGCACCGAAUAACAUAAAAACCGUGCCUCCAUAACCAAGGAAGAUUAUUAAUUGAAAAAACGUUUCACAACAAAGGCACGACCAUGCAUCUGCCGAAUGUUCUAACGUUUACACGACUACUUUCACAGCCAAAGAUGCAUCACGCAGGCAGCAUGCAACGAAUAAAAAAAUUCAAUGAACAAGACAAGUGAAAAUCUUAAAAAAAAUAGAUAAAACAAACCCCUGUUUCCGAAAUUCUACGCCUGGAACCGCCGCGUGACUAGCAACUGCUCUUUGGCGGUUUCCUUUUUUGCACGACAAAACAACCCUUUCACUUUUCCAACUCCAUUUCAUCCUCUUCCUCGAAAGUUUCUCGUCGGCCGCAGUUCAGCACCGCACACCUCCAGCCAUGGACGGCGGGAAACUAACAACAUUCACCGAACACAUCACUACCCACGGUACAACCGUGCUCGAGGUGGUGUACACCAACGACCCAAGGACCAUGGAGCGGAUCAUCAACGAGUACGAGGAAUGGCUAAAGGAGGAGAGGAACAAGUUCGUCAGCCUCGACCUCGAGUACACACGUAAGAGUAGUUACAUACGACAAGGGAUCUCCGUCGUCCAACUUUCUAUGCGCGAGCAUGUCCUUGUGUGCCACUACUGCGGGUCCGAGCGCUCCCAGGCGUUAGUUGACUUCCUGCAACGGAAAGCGGUAACUUUCACUAGCGUCGACACCAGGAACGACAAGACCAUGCUUGCCCGUGCAUGCAUCAGAAUUCCAGAUGAGCACCACAUCGACAUCCAGAGGCUAUUCUGCAUCAAGGGUGGUGGAGAAAGGGACUCCAUGGGUGACCUUGCAGCGGCCAUCAUCGACCUCUCAUACAAGAACAUGAAGAAAUCAUUCUCAAAGGAGAAGCACCAGUUCUGGGAGUGGAAGCCACUUUCCCCGAUACACCUUGAGUACGUGGCAAAGGACGGGUAUGUUAGCUACGAGUUGUACCGUAGAAUCCUAAUCAUCAAGAACGGGCUAUGUCACCCCCACCAACAACCAAUGAAAGAAAGACUCCGCCCACGUAAGAGCAAUGACAAGGGAUCUUCCAGCGGCUGGAAGCGCCGGAAGGGAAACAGUGGUUGGUAAAUUGCGAGAAAAUGGAUGUCUACAUUAAACUAGUAGGAACUACUAUUAUCAUAAUUUGGAUUGUAUGAACCUAUGUUGUAAAUAUGUUUGUUGUUGCUCAAAGAUGUUGUGUGUAUUGUAUUACUAUUUUACGUUUGAACUUUGAACACAGUGGUGUGCUCAUGUACUAAUUUGGAUUGUAUGAACCUAUGUUGUAAAUAUGUUUGUUGUUGCUCAAAGAUGUUGUGUGUAUUAUAUUACUAUUUUACGUUUGAACUUUGAACACAGUGGUGUGCUCAUUUACUAAUUUGGAUUGUAUGAACCUAUGUUGUAAAUAUGUUUGUUGUUGCUCCAAGAUGUUGUGUGUAUUGUAUUACUAUUUUAUGUUUGAACUUUGAACAUAGUGGUGUGCUCAUGUACAAAUGCAUACUACGUUUUCCAUGUCUAAACGCAAUUAGUAAGUUAUGUCUAAAUGCAAUUAGUAAGUUAUGUCUCAGUACUGAGCAAGCAUGUAUUGUAUCCAUGAUUAUAGAACGAGAGAUAUCUCGCGCGAUAUUGUAUUAUAAUUUUCAUACUCAACCUUUACAAGAUGCGUCGUGCAUUCACAAGAAUAUGUGAUGAUAUCAUUGUAAACUUUCAGUAUAAUGCUUAUUAAACAUUGGCGUGAGCAAUUCAUAAAUAUUGCAGAAGAUCAUUCGGUACACAGUCACAAGCGACGAGAACUUUGUUACCUUAACCACAUUGAAAAAAAAAUCCUUGCCUCCAUUUCACAUCAAACACCGCUCCGUCCAUUCAGAACAUCCUUGCUAUUGUACACAGCUUCCUCUUCGUACACCAGUUCUGCACGAUGCCACGAAACUACACUACUGUGUGCAACUGACCUAUUUACAAGCGUGACUCACUAAGUGUCUACUCAAUCCAUGCCUGUGGUGCCACGCACCCGUGACCCUAGAGACUACACACCUAUGCAUCAUUAACCGAGCUCCUCUAACCAGAUAUUCGGACCGAUGCCUCUACUGUCGUACAUCCGUGCCUCUAGAAUCUUGACACCAGCAAGUGGGUUCAAAACCAUGCCUCCAGACAAUCGUGCUUGUACUAACUACACUUUCGUGCCUCUGUUUGCUUGAUCAACGUGCCUCACUUGAAACCCAUAGUAACUCUACGUGCUCCGCACGCGUGAUCGCCAAUGCAACUUUGGUGCUGCACAGACGCGUCUCUCAGUAUACCCGUACCUCCAUAACCGUGCUUCUACUGACUAUAAUUCCAUGCCUCCGUUUUGCUCAAUCCACGUGCCUCACAUAAAACCAACACUAACUCUACGUCCUACACACACACGUGCCUCUCGCAUGAAACCCAUAGUAUCUCGCCCGUACAACUUUGGCACUACACACACGUAGCUCUCAGUAUACCCGUGCCUCCUCAUGACCAUGCCUGCACUGACUUCAAUUCCGUGCCUUCAUUUGCUUAAUCCACGUGCCUCACAUAAAAGAGAUACACAGUCGUGCCUCAGAGUAAACAACACACGUGCCUCUACUGUAUUGAUAACUAUGAUCCCAAUUAAAUAGCAUCCGUUCAAAAGAACAUCUUUAAAAGAGAUGCACAGCCAUACCUCUUCUACAAACAUACAACAGCAAUGAACACUUAGGUUCUUAGGUUCAUAUCGUUUCAUAUAUCAAGACAACAUUAACCCGUGGCAUAGAUUUUUAAACAAAAUCCAUUUAUGUUCAAAGGCUAUAACUAAUAUCACUGCGGCAGAAGAUUGAAGAUAACAACAAGCCUCCCAUCACGCUAUUUGAAAGUUAUCAGCACUAAGUUGUUUACUUCAAUAGACGAUGCCUGGAGAAAAUCACUAAAACCUUCCUAUUUGAACACCAUUCUACUACCCAAGCCAAUGAAGUAGGAGCAAGGAGUGCUCACAUAUAUAUCAUCAUCACCAGAUUCCAAAGUAACUUCAAGGGUUAAAACGCUAGUCCUAGGAAAAGUCACAGACUCCUUCAAACUCCUCACAACAAUACCAGGAAUAACCUGACAAAAAACAUCAAGCUAUCAGAAAUAAAACAAAAAUUAAAAACUAUAAAUAGAAGAGAUAAUAAAAAUAAAUAAAUAAACAGAAACAAAGAAAAAACAGUGGAAAAAAUCUGACCAUAUGAUGACCAUUAACAUUCAUGGAAUCAAUCUUGUGAACAAAAGGAUAACACGGUAUGUAGGCAUCAUCAAAGAGUUGACACCUCAUGAAAUACAUCUGCUGAUAAUUAAGAAAAACACCAUAGGUGUAAUAACAACUCCCAACAAGUUCCAUCUCGGAGUCGCUCAAACCAUCAAGAGCUACAAAAUAUAAUUACACAGGCUCAAGGGAACAGAAAAAUCAUCAUGUGCAAUAAAACAAGCUAAAAACUUCCUUAAAAUAAACCUUACCAACAGAAGGUAAAGGAGACAACGCAUCUCCACGACCAACACGAUAAAAAUCAAUACCAAUCCAUGUUCCAUAGUGUUCAAGCUUAAUGGUCAUUAUAUCACGAGGACGAACACCAUAAUCACUGACCAAUCAUUCCCAGGAAGGACCAUGGAAUUUACUCCUCAAUCGACCAUGACUAAACAGAACACCAUACAAAUAACCCUCAUUGCACUGAAAAGCAAGAUCAGUAUCUUCGUCACCCCUCCUUAUGGCUAAAGCCCUACACUCCUCGAUGUAACGAGCAAGAUGAGCUCUAACACUGCAUGGAACAUACUGCACAACAAAUCAAAACAAGGAUCAUAAUCAAAACCUAAACAACAUGAGCAGCACCAAAAGAAAUAAACGUGUGUGCCAAAAAUUGAACAAUUAUAAAAUGAUAUUCUUACAACAUGCCUCCAACAACGCCGAUCCAGGACCACACUGAACCCAUCUACAGAAGAAUCAACAGAAGAAACGGGCCACCAGGCAUACGGCAAAAAGGACAAGCCAUAACCGCAAGGAACACAUGAUUAUCAAGAACUAAUCACACAAAACCUAGUUGAAACUUGACAUCUGAUAGUGUUGGUAGUCCCCACCCGUAACUACCCCAUAAAUCUCCAUAUCCCGGAAAUAUAAUGGGAACAAAAAGAGAAACAUCAAAGGGAAACAGGAAACCCACGAAGGCAACCGGUAGGGAACGGCGAUCACGCGAACGGGGAAGCGCGGUCGACGCUAAAGAAGGACCGCCGUAAAAGCAGGCAACAAGCGCGGCGGCCGGGACAGGGGCCGCUGUAACCACACGACAAGAGCGGCGGCCGCGACGGACAAAGAUGAUGGCAAAGAAAGAACAGUGCUCCACGACGGUUCGCCCACACCAGAAAGAAAACAGAUCAAAAGGUUUUACAAAACAUUAAAAAUAUAAGGACUAAAGUAAAAAAAGGAAAACCUGAAAAGGGAAACCAGAAACCGGAAAACACGGGAGACGCCGUGCGUGCAACAAGUGUCGCGCGCGGAGCGCCUCGGAAAAGUCUCCCGACCGCUCCGCGCGUGACACUUGGCGCGUCGGGAGCGCUCCCCGACUAAUCGUUGCGAGGAGCGCUCCUCAAUUAGUGAUUUUGUAAGAAGAGGACCACGCUUGCUGGGUGACACCCUAUCAUGGCCGUAUGUUGCUGCAAUAUGCGAAAAGACAAAACAAUAGGUAAAGGACGUGAUAAUGGAGGUACUUUUGCGAAACGAGGGCGAAAUGCAAAAACUGCCACCUUUUGUUUUUUCGGGCGAAAAUCUUUGAAUGCAACGCUAUUUCUUUUACAGAAUGCAUUGAUCACCUGCUUAACCCAGAUUAUGAUAGCUUGGGCCUGCCUGUCAGGCUGAUGUGGCAAAAAAAUACCACUCCGGCACAUUGACUUGGUCUUCCUCAUAAUCUAGGUCAAGUGAGCUAUCAAUGCAGUCAGUAAAAAAAUUGUGUUUGCUUUUGGUGGGUUUUGUAAAAAAAGGCGGUUUUCUGUUAAUGACGACACAAUUGUGACAUGUUUGGAAGGGAGGAAAGUGACCUUGAUCUCUAGUAAUAUAGCCAGAGUUUGGAAGGAUCCUAUUAGAGGUGCUGCCCCCUUGAGAGAUAAAUUCCCAACCUUAUUUCACAUAUGCAACUAUCAGGAGAUUACUGUUGCUGAAUUUAAAAACUUUGGGGGUGGUGACAUGUUCAGAAGAAAUUUACACCCUCCCCUCACGGAUCAGUGGAAGGAUCUGGUUGAGGUGGUUACCUCUUGGCAGUUAUCUAACGAGACUGGUCAGAUUAGUUGGGCGUUGGGUAAAAAAGGUAAAUUCUCGACCAAAUCGGUCUAUACACACUUGGAAAAGCAUCUGGCUGGAUGUGACUAUAGAUGGAUCUGGAAAGCUAAAAUCCCCCUUAAAAUCCAAAUUUUUCUUUGGCAAGUAUUCCAAGACGUGGUUCUGACUAGAGAAGUCAUGAGAAAGCGCAACUGGGCAGGCAAUCCUAAAUGCUCUUUUUGUGAGAAUGUGGAGACCUCACAGCAUCUUUUCUUUACGUGCCAUGUGGCUCGGGUGGUAUGGAGGAUGGUUGGAUGUGUGCUGGGCACAUCUUUAUGUCCAAAUAACAUUUGGCAGUACUAUUCCUGGUGUUAUAUUUUCCUUCCUGAUGGAACCAAACUUUACACCUCUGGUUUGGCGGCAAUCUGUUGGGCGAUUUGGAACAAUCGUAACCGAGCUACGUUUGAACAUAAAGAUCUCAAAAGCCCUUUUAAUGUGGUGUAUGCUGCUUGUGGUUUUUUGAUGUACUGGGCAGGUUUGAUGGCUGGCGAUGAUCGGGAGACCAUGGAGCGUGGAGCCAAGAUGCUCAGGUCCAGUGCAUCGAUGAUGAUGAGAAUCUGCGCGGCUCCAACCAACUCAGCUUCAAACUGAUCCCUUCUGCAUCUCUUCGGAGCUUCGAGUUCUCAUCUGUCAAGGAUAGGCUGCCUUUCACUCCUGCGCGAGUGCUCUGAUUGCUCUUUUGUGAGCCUGUAAGCUUGGUGAAGUUAGACUAUCUUGGGUUUCUUUUGGGGACUCGUUGGUGCUUAGAUCCUUUAGGUUGCGUGAUCACAGGUGUUGCUGGGUUUUCGCCCCGCAAUGAGCUGCUCGAUGACGAGUGCUCAUGGUGUGUUUUCCAGUGGUGCUUUGAACUCGCCUCCCCUUUCUAGUUUCCUUACGAUGUAGUUGGUACUUGGGUCUGUGGUUGUCUGAACUAUGUAUUUCCGUUAUGCUUUUAAUGGAAAAGGGUUGAGAUCCGGUUCAAAAAAAUAUAUCAAUCAGGCAUUGUUGUGGAAAGGGUGCCGCAAAUAGAUACUACUCGACGGAGAGAUAUGCCGACGGCGCUCCCAACGGCUCCUGUACGGACAGGCGUUGCGAGCGUCUCUGGCGAUGGUGGCGUCGGUGGCGGUGUCUCGGCGCAGGGCGGCGGUGCUCAGGCCCCGGCGGAGGACCCGGCGGCGGGCUGGGCGGCGGCUCGCGCCCCAGUCCCCAGGCGGACGGCUGCGCCCCCCCUGGGCGCCGCCGGGUGGUCGGGAAGCCGCUUUUGGGCGUUGGCGGAGGACGAUUCAGACAGCGACGAGGAGGCGGAGUUAGGCGACGCGGUGGCGCUGGGGGCAGGUGGCCGUCCGGCCUGCUCCCUUGGCGACUUCGUGGCGCGGGCAGAGGAGCUCGGGGGCUCCCUCAAGGCCGGGCGCCGUCCUGCGUUUGCGCCCGGGGGCCGUGGCCCGCGGCGGGUCGUUGCGGCUGCGCCCAGAGCGGCUCGCUCGGUGUGGCGCCGCGAGGGUCGUGACAACCUUGCUGCGCCAGACGCGGGGCUGCUCCUGCAGCUCGCAGCAGACCAGCUGAGCCCGGCGCCGGCGCCCCCCAUGGUGGCGCCGGCGGCGCGGAUGACGCUGGGCGUGGUCAACCCUAGGGCUGGGGCGGACCAGCCAGCGGUCCAGUCGGGCCAGCCCACACGGGUGGUGGACGGCCCAAAUGCGGUGGUGGCGCGGGCUGGGGCCCAGUCCCCUGACGCGCACGUGGAGCAGGGAAACGUUCCUGCCCCCAGGACCCAGCCCGACCCACAGGGGGCGAUCCAGCCCAACCAGCCCAGCCCAGAGAGGGCACAUAAAUGGCUCUGGAUCCCCCGCGGAACCCUAAAUCCCUCGCUAGGUUUUCCAGCCACCGCUGCGGAGGUGCGGCGCUUCGGUCGUCUCGCCCGAUUCCUCUCAUCCACUCCACUCCCCUCCCCACUGCGGCGCACCUUUGCUGAAGUAGUGGCGAUGGGCUCCAAGCAAGAUCGCCGGGGGGAAAAGCCUCCCAUGGAGCAGCCGCGGGACCACAACCGUGGUCGCGCCGCCGACGAGGGGGGCUGGGGACCACCGCCUGCGUCGUGUCUCAAGGAACAGGAAAGGAAGGCAAAGAAGAAGGCGGAGCACAAGCAGCGCGGCCUCGAGCUCAAGCGCAAGGGGAUGCAACCAGCGCCGGGCGGCGACCGGGGCGGUGACUCCCACGCGAAGAAGAAAUCCAAGCUUGCGGGGGCGGCGGCCUCCAAGCUGCCCCUCCCGCCCAGAGCUGAGGUGCCGGGCUCAUCCAAGGGCACGGAGGCGGAGCCAAUCCCGAUCGAGGAGGCUGACGGACCUGAAUGCUCCCGAUGCGGGCGCACGGGCCAUUUUCAGAGCUUCUGCACCUUCAAGCCUCUGUGCGUGGUGUGCACCAAGGAGGGGCACACGUCUGCGCAGUGCUCGACCUGGGGCAAGCCUCUGCUCCUCCAAACCAUGGGACACGCCAUCUCCAGCGAGGGUUUCUUCUGCCUCCAGUACCCGGAUGAUUCGCGGGAGGAGCCGCAGAUCCAGCUGGGGGCCAACGCGGCUGUGCUCUCCAUGCCUUCUGGCGUGCUCACCCAAGAGAUUCUACAAGUGGAGCUGCCACACCUCUUCGAGGGCGAAUGGGACUGGCAGAUCUCUGCAAUGGAGGGAGGGGCAUUCUCGAUGGUCUUCCCAGAUCCGGUGAUGCUCCGGAUGGCAACCAGGAGCGGCAAGCUGUUCCUCUCCCUCAACAACCUCAUGGUGGACAUCCGCGACGCGGUCCUCGAAGCUCCCAAAGGAAUGGCGAUGCCAGAGGUGUGGGUCAAGCUGGGAGGAAUCCCUCCCAAGCACCGGCGUUCCGACCUGCUCUUGGCGGCCACCGUCAUGCUUGGCCGUCCCCUGCUGGUGGAUGAGGAGUCCCUCACUCGUCCGGGGCCAGUCCGUAUGCGUUUCGCAUGCCGCACCCCCCGCAAGCUGCGUGGUCUGGUCCAGAUCUGGUUCAAUGGCGAGGGCUUCAACAUCACCAUCGAGCCCGAACUUCCCCCGGAGCAACUCACAGCACCUGCCCUGCCUUCUCCACACCCGCCUUCUCCAACUGACCAAGACAGGGGUGGGGAGGGGCCCGACGGCAAUCUGGGCAGCGACAAGGAGGCGGAUGCAAGCAUGGAGGAUGAUUCCAUCGAUACAACGGCUUGGGAGAAGCUGGGCAUCUCUGACAAGGGCGGGGCGACAACCAGGGCGUCGAUGCCUCCGAUGGAGCCGCCGCUGGCAGGGGGGUCUAUGGAGCUGGAUCUCCCCAUCCCCAACCAGUAUGGCUCCAACCUGGGCUCGGUCACGUCCCCCCCGGUGCGGGCGGUGGCGGAGCCUGGUGCGGGCCAGAUGGUGGAACCGCUGGGGGAGGCGCGCACUCCUAUUGCGGUGUCCAUGGAGUCGCAGCCGCUUGCCUCACGCUCUCCAUCCCAAGGGGGGCGCAGCUCCAACAAGCUCGGGGCGGUGAAGCAGCUCAAGAAGGUGGCUGUGCGCAAGGUUAGCGCGGAGGCCGUUCGUGUGGCGGAGCUCCAGGGUGCGCCGGUGACCCCCCGGCAGGCGGUGAUGGCGCUGGCUAUGCCCACCUCCGCUCCGACCGCGCUGGAGGCGGACAAGACGGUGCCUGUCCCGAAGGCCAAGCGUACCAAGACCGUCGUGGACGGGCAGGUAGCUCAUGUGCGGGUCAGCGCGCGGGCUAAGGGCGCUAAAGGAAACAUGCCUUCGCUCCAACGCGCCCAACUCCUCCAAGCACAGAAGAACCUGGAAACCUCAGGUAAUCCAUUGCCCCGUUUCUCGAUUCUGGAUUGUUUCUCGGACGAGCACCUAGGCGAGGUGUUGGUGGAGAGUGGAGUUGAACCAAUCGGGGAGGGCGGGGUUAGCGAGCUAAUCUCGCUGGUGCGCGCUAAGGAACUGGCUCAGGCCGCACUCGCAGCGGCGGCUGCUCAACACGCGGAGCAUAUGGCUGUCGAGGAGGAUCCCUCGACGUCGCUAAGUCUCCGGCCCAAAGGGGAGACAGCAACAGGGUUUGCUGCUCCUCCCUCGUCUCGCUGCGGCAAGGCGAGGCGCGUGGCCAAGGCGAUCACCUCUAGGGGGAUCCGCCUGCGAAACCGCGUCAUCUAGAUGCGGAUGCUCAUUUGGAACAUCCGUGGCUUCGGCCACUCGGGGCGGCGCACCCAACUCCGCGACUACAUCAGGAAAGAAGGGAUUGAUAUAGUAGGGCUCCAGGAAACCAUUAAAACUGAUUUUCGUCACCAAGACCUCGUAGCCAUAGACCCUUUGGAGCGUUUCAUUUGGCAACAUAGCCCGGCUAUUGGGCAUUCGGGUGGCAUGCUGCUUGGCUUUUGCAGUGCCAUAUAUGAGGUGCUGUCCUGGGAGGUAGGCACCUCCUUCACUGCAGCCAAUAUUCACGUGAGAGCUUCGCUACGCGAGCUCGUGAUCCUGCAAGUCUAUGGACCAGCAGAUCACUCACGUUCGGCAGAGUUUCUGGGAGAACUCGAAGCCAAGGUGCUGGCAGUUGCCGCAUCCCAGGUCCCGCUCCUAGUGGGUGGUGAUUUUAACCUCAUCCGAUCGAACGCGGACAAAAACAAUGACAACAUCAACUGGUCAAGGGUGACCAUGUUCAACAGCGCAAUUGCGUCAAUGUCACUUAGGGAAGUGGCAAGAACGGGGGCAAGAUACACUUGGACCAACAAACAACUAGCCCCGGUGAGAUCCGUCUUGGAUCGCGCCUUCAUGUCUCCGGAAUGGGAAGUGGUGUUCCCAUUAUGCUCGCUCCUUGCUGAAACAAGGAUCGGCUCGGACCAUGUUCCACUCAUCCUAUCUUCAGGGGAAGAUAAGGUACGUCGCAGCCCGCGUUUCUUUUUCGAAACAGCAUGGUUCGAGGCUCCUGAUUUCGACAACAUCUUUCGGGAAAGAUGGUUGAGAAGUGUUCAAGCCACGGGCCAGCAGCGCGGCCCUAUGGAGUUUUGGAUAGCGGUGGGGGGACGCUUGCGUGCAAGCCUCAAGGGAUGGGGCGCGAAUCAGGGACGAGACGAGAAAGUUUUGAGGGCGAAACUUCUCGAUGAGAUCGCAACCCUCGACACUCAAGCAGACUCGCGUCCAUUCUCGGAGCAUGAAUGGGCGCAUCGAUACGCCUUGGAAGGGCAAGUCGAGGAGUUGCUCCGAUCCGAGGAGGAAUACUGGAGGCGCCGAGGAGGACUUAAGUGGAUGCUCAAGGGAGAUGCGAACACUGGCUACUUCCACGCGUACGCGAAUGGACGUCGCAGGAAAUGCCUAAUCCUGAGGCUGCAGACGGAGCAGGGGCUCCUUCUCCAGCAACCAGCGAUUAGCAAACACAUCUACGACUUUUACAUAAGCCUGAUGGGGACCGACGAGCCUCAGCGCGCCAGGCUGAGAGAGGACGCCUGGCUGCCAGCUCAAAAGGUCUUGGAGUCGGAGAACGAAGAGCUGGGGCUCGCGUUUCUCCCCAAGGAGAUUGACGAGGCUCUCCAAAGCAUGAAAACUGACACGGCACCGGGGCCUGAUGGGUGGCCGGUGGCGAUGUUUAAACACUUUUGGCCACUGUUGCGCGAACCCAUCUUCGCGUUGUGCAAUGGCUUCAUGCGCGGUUUUGUGGACAUUGCUAGGUUAAACUUCGGAGUGCUCUCCCUAAUUCCGAAAGUACCGGGUGCGGAUAAUAUCCGCCAGUACAGACCAAUAGCGCUCAUUAAUGUGCCCUUCAAAAUUUGCGCCAAGGGUUGUGCCACGCGGUUUACUCCGAUCGCACACCGCACAAUCAGCCGUUCCCAAUCUGCCUUUAUUCGCGGUAGGAACAUUUUGGAGGGACCAUUAGCGUUGCAAGAGACCCUCCACGAACUUAGGCGCACGCGCGAACCGGCGAUUUUACUUAAAUUAGACUUCGAAAAAGCUUACGACCGCGUCAACUGGGAUUUCCUCAAACAAAUCCUAUUGACCCGAGGCUUUUCGCCGGUGUGGGUGCACAGAAUCAUGCAGUUGGUCUCGGGGGGCCAAACUGCGGUCUCGGUGAACGGAGAGGUAGGGCACUUCUUCCGGAACAAGCGCGGCCUUCGCCAGGGUGAUCCCAUUUCACCGCUCUUGUUCAACUUCGUGGCAGAUGCACUGGCGACCUUGCUCCGGAAAGCAACGGAAGCAGGCCACAUCAAAGGGGUGUUGGGGCACCUCAUCCCAGGGGGGAUAUCGCACCUGCAAUACGCUGACGACACGCUACUGCUGUUCCAACCGGACCUGCACAGCGUGGCCAUGAUCAAAGCCCUGUUGAUUAGCUUUGAGCUUAUGUCGGGGCUCAAGAUCAACUUCCACAAAUGCGAAGUGAUGCCCAUGGGACUCGAGCCGUCCGACAGUAGGCGUAUCGCAGACCAGCUCAAUUGCAAACUCGGCAAACUCCCGUUUACUUACCUUGGGCUCCCGUUGGAUGCCAAACGCAUCACGAUAGAUGGCUGGGCGCCACUCUGGACCAAGGUGGGUGGGCGGGUUUGUCCGUGGAGGGGGAAGUUCCUCUCUUCUGCAGCCCGGCUAGUGCUCACAAACGCGAGCCUGUCCUCGCUGCCGCAGUUUGCAAUGGGGUUGUUCCUCUUGGCUGAAGGGGUACACGCCAAGAUGGACACUCCAAGGUCCCGUUUCUUUUGGGAAGGUGCGGGACCCAAACGCAAGUACCAUAUGGUCAGAUGGGACUUGGUGUGCAGACCCAAGGACCUAGGGGGGCUAGGGAUCACAAACACACGGAUCCUCAACAUUGCACUCAUGUGCAAAUGGAUCUGGAAGCUGUCGCAGGGGGCGACCGGUCUGUGGGUGGACAUGCUGCGCAAUAAAUAUUUCCCCAACGGGAACUUUUUCGAAGGCAGGACGCGGGGCUCUCCUUUCUGGAACGACCUCCAAGCGGUGCGCCCGGCCUUCGCCCUUGGCGCCAAGUUCGUCGUAGGGGACGGGCGCUCGGCCCGCUUCUGGCUUGACCUAUGGUUGGGAGCGAACCCCCUUUGGGUCCAAUUUCAGGACUUGUAUGCCCUGGCGGUCAACCCGGAGAUGACGGUAGCGACGGCCCUAGCCUCGAACCCACCCGCGAUCCACUUUCGUCGAGAGCUAACGGGCCUUAAACAAGCACGCUUUGAGGAGCUGCUGGGCCUGACUCAAUCGGCGACGCUGUCCACUUCCGCGGACACGGUCACUUGGGCUCUCACCACGUCCGGAAAGUUCACGGUCAAAUCCCUCUACCGCAGGCUCUGCCAAGUUCAGGGACCGGCAUUCCCAAUGCCGACCGGUUUGUGGAACGCCCGUAUUCCGCUUAAAGUCAAGGUGUUCUUCUGGCAACUUUUCCACAAUAGACUCCCCACUUCGGCCAAUGUUGCAAAGCGCAACGGCCCGUCUUCCGGCUUAUGUGCCAUUUGUAAUACCAUGGAAGAUGCGAACCAUGUGUUUUUCCGCUGCCCCCUAGCGCGCUUUGCCUGGAGCGCAGUCCGAGCUGCCACCAAUACCAAUUGGGACCCGCGAUCGGCCGCUGACCUAGCGGCCAUAGUUGCGUCGACGAUGGGUGGCAGUAAACGUGUCCUUUGGAGUUGCCUCGGUGCCCUAGCCUGGGCAAUGUGGCUUACAAGGAACAAAAUUGCCAUCGAGGGAAUCUUCCCAUCACACCCUGCUAAUAUUCUUUACAAAUGCAACAUUCUUAUGCAGCAGUGGAGUCCGUUGGCGAAGCACAAGGAUGCUGACAAGAUGAAGCAAGCUCAAGAUCGUCUUCGCCAAGUCUACGUUUUGGCCAGGGAGCCGCCAGCCGCUUCUACGUCGUGAAGUGGUUUCUUUUGUCUUGCGAGCGAGCCUGCGUGCUCUAUGCUCUUUGGUCUUUGGCCUGUAAUAGACUCGCUUUGCUUACUUUUGGCCUCUGGCCUGCCUGCGACCUUGCUGUGCUCUCGCGCCAGCGUAACCUGAGCCUCCGCGCUCGUGACCUUGCUGUGCUUCGUGCCAGCGGAACCCGAGCCUCCGCGCUCGUGACCUUGCUGUGCUUCGUGCCAGCGGAACCCGAGCCUCCGCGCUCGUGACGUUUGUCCUAGUCCUCGUCUGUAAACGCUGCCUAAGUUUGUGGGCUUUAUUAAGUUAAAGCCGGACGCUCCUAACGUCUCCGUUCUAAAAAAAAAAUAGAUACUACUCCCUCUGUAAUUGCGUUACCUUUGUUUAUUUUGGAUCAACUCUAUAGAAAAAUGUGCAAAUCUACAACACCAAUUGCAUCGAUUUUGAUCAAUUUCGUAGAAAAAUGAGCGUAGCUUAGAUGGUUAGGUUCCUUGUGAUGGAACCAGUCCACCAAGGUUCAAGUCGUUUCUCGAUUUAUUUUAGUGAGAGGGAUGUUCCGAUCGGCUAUGAAGAUACAUGUGGUGACUUCGUCGAUCUUAAAAUGUUGUGCUGCCUCGGUCACUAGAAGGUGCUCAUAGGGGCUGUAUGGGCAUCUACGUUGUACUGUGUUUAAAAAAGUUCGUAAUUUUUUAUACAUAGUAUGAAAAUGUAUUUCAUAAAGAAUCUCACGAGACUACUUUGACGAUUUAGGUGCUAGUAUUUUUGUAGACUUGAUCAAACUUAAAACAAAUUUUACCUGAGACAAACCAUUAACUACAAUUAUUUUGGAUAGAGAUACCUGUUGUUUACAGAGAUUUAUAAUAAUCUCUGAAAAAAUGGUUGGAAACAUGUGGAACGGCUCAACCCAUUUUCCAGUUAAUUUAGCAAUUCACAUUUCCUCCUCAGCUCGGUCAUUUCUCACGCCUAUAAAACCUCAGCAAAAAUGCUAGACGUACGGGAAGAUUUUACAAGAGUUAACGGACUAACCCUCUCCCCUCACUAAUCUCCCCCUCCUGAUUUUCAGGAUGGGGCCCGCUUCAUCUUAACAAUCAAUCAACACAUCCCACCUAAGCCUAGCCUGUAAAGCUCCUGUAAAACCCCUGUAGAUGUAGCAUUGCUGAAACCUCAGCAACCCAGAGCAAACCCUCCAGUGCAACAACCCCUCCCAAGUCCCAAAAGCGGAAAAGCCACGAUGACCAGGCCUCACACUGGCAGUGAGCCACCACUGGUGAUGCAUCUGCUGCUCUGUUGCACGUUUCUCCUGGCCUUCGCUGCUCCGGCGACCACCGCAGCCUCCGCCCCCGCCCCGGCUCCGACCCCGGCGAAGCAGACCAUGACGUGGGACGUGGAGUACAUCAUGUGGGCGCCGGACUGCCAGCAGCGGGUGAUGAUCGGGAUCAACGGCAAGUUCCCCGGGCCCAACAUCACCGCCCGCGCCGGCGAGACCCUCAGCAUCACCGUCAACAACAAGCUGCACACGGAGGGCCUCGUCAUCCACUGGCACGGGAUGCGGCAGGUGGGCACGCCGUGGGCGGACGGGACGGCGUCCAUCUCGCAGUGCGCCGUCAGCCCGGGGGACUCGUUCACCUACGAGUUCGUCGCCGACAAGGUAGGCAACGAACGAACGUCGCAACCGAACAAAACCCCGUACCCGGAAUGGCCGGGCACGUGAGGAAGGCCCAAGGAACUGAACCAAAUUUGUUUUCUGGUGCAGCCGGGGACCUACUUCUACCACGGGCACUUCGGGAUGCAGCGGGCGGCGGGGCUGUACGGGUGGCUCGUCGUGGACGCCACGGCGGAGCGGGGCGAGCCGUACCGGCGGGACUACGACGGCGGCGAGCUCCGCAUGCUGCUCAGCGACUGGUACCACGACAACGUGUACGCGCAGGCGGCCGGGCUGGAGCAGAAGUACGAUCACUUCCAGUGGGUCGGCGAGCCCCAGACGAUCCUCGUCAACGGGCGAGGGCAGUACGACUGCAUGCUCGGCGCGGUCACGAGGUUCCACCGGGGCAUCGACCGGCGCGCCAGGACCUGCGUGCGGGGCAAGGAGGCCAAGCUGUGCGGCGACGAGGAGAGGUGCCUCCGGCGCAGCGAGUGCGGGCCCUACUGCCCGGAGAGCCAGUGCGCCCCCGUGGUGCUCGACGUGGAGCCCGGCAGGACGUACCGGCUCCGGAUCGCCAGCACCACCUCCCUCGCCGCCCUCAACGUGCAGGUCCAAGGGGUGAGUAAGAAAGAAGACGCAUUUCCUCUCCACUCUUCAGUAGGUGGUAGUAGUAACGUAACGUCGGUUGACACGGCGGUGGUGGUGAUUUUGUAGCACGAGCUGACGGUGGUGGAGGCCGACGGCAACCCCGUGGAGCCGUUCACCGUCGCCGACAUCGACAUCUACUCCGGCGAGAGCUACUCCGUGCUCCUCACCACCAACCACACGCCGACGUUCUACAGGUCGGGGUCCUUCUGGGUCUCCGUCGGCGUGAGAGGACGGCCUCCCAAGACGCUGCCGGCCACCGCCGUCCUAAGGUACACCAACAGCAGGUUCCCGUGGCCGGGCAGCCCGCCGCCGGCGACUCCGGCGUGGUACGAUCUGCAGCGCAGCAAGGACUUCGCCCGCAGGAUCAAGGCCCGGAGGAACGCCGCCGAGGCGCCGCCGCCGCCGCGGACGGAGCAGGUGAGCCGGAGGAUCGUGAUGCUCAACACGCAGACCCUGGUAGACGGGCACAUCAAGUGGGCCGUCAACAACGUGUCCCUGACGCUCCCGACCACCCCGUACCUCGGCGCCUACUUCUACGGCGUGCAGGGCAGCGCCUUCGACGCCUCCGGCGAGGCGCCCAACGGGUUCCCCGGCGGCUACGACAUCGACCUGCCGCCGGAGAACAACAGCUACGAGGCCACGCUCAGCGACCGGGUGUACGAGCUGGCGCACGGCGCCGUGGUGGACGUGGUGCUCCAGAACGCGGACAUGCGGAGGGACAACGACAGCGAGACGCACCCGUGGCACCUGCACGGCCACGACUUCUGGGUGCUGGGGUACGGCGAGGGGCGGUACACCGGCGGCGAGCGCCUCAACACGGAGGACCCGCCGCUGCGGAACACGGUGGUGGUGUUCCCGCACGGGUGGACGGCGAUCCGGUUCGUCGCCGACAACGUGGGCGCGUGGGCGUUCCACUGCCACAUCGAGCCGCACCUCCACAUGGGCAUGGGCGCCGUCUUCGUCGAAGGGGCCCACAUGAUACGCGAGCUGGACGUGCCCAGAGAGGCAAUGAUGUGCGGGGUGAUCAGGACGACGGUCGCAGCCCUGACUCCCGCUAAGCCGGGCUCGCCGGCGCCGGCGCCGUGACGGCCAUCGGCUCAUGGAUAAGCUCCUCCUCGCAUGCCUGUACCAGUAUAUCCGUGGUCACUUGUGAAUGCGCGGUGCAAAACAAAGGCUUUCCAGUCAGAACUCUAGCGUGUUUUCACUGCAUUCUCAGUGAAUAAAGUUUUAUAUUGAUAAAGAAAAAAGUCUGCUUUCUGAUAAACGUCGUCUUGUAUAUAAUGAAAAGAUAAUUGUUUUGAAAUUUUCUUAGUCCUCCGCCAUCAGGGUACUAUCGAAUGAAAUCAUUCCACCAACGAGAAAUUUAUGCACCAAGAAAUAUCCAGCGAACUGCGUGUAAUAUGACAUGAAACAAAUGGAACAGGCAUGGUCAAUCAAGAUCCGAAACAGUACAGGAGCACUCAGUAUUUUUAGAAUUACACAAGACAUGCUAAUCUGCGACGAGUAUCAAAUUCUCUCUUCAACAUCCGUGAACAUCCGGUGGUUCUUACUCCUACCAGGCUACACAUAUUCUACCAAAACCAUGGAAUCCCAUCUCAAACCCCAGUUUCCAGCACCAUGUAUGAUAUUGCACGAAAACCUUGUCCGGGAGAUGCUCUAGAAGCAGACAGGAAACUUAUCUUGAUAGUUGCUACAUCAGUCGAUCUUCACAGAAGCGUAGAUCUUCCUCACAAACCAGAAGCAAGCAUAGAAGCCGAUGGUGCCAGUCAGGACGAAGAAGGCAUAAGAAAUGAUCAGCAUGUAACCAAAGUAGAGAAUGCCUGAAACAAGCUUCGUGAUCUCCAACUUGUUGAAGAAGUAGAAGAUAGCAUAAGCAAAAAGAUAUAGAGCUGAAGAGCCUGCGGUCAGGUAUGCCCUCCACCACCAGUGGUAGUCCUCACUGCAUAGCUGGAAGUAGCAGAGCACAAUUGUGAUCUCAGCACAGGUUACCAGGAGAAUGACGAAGACUAUGAAGAGGAAGCCAAAGAUGUAGUAGAACUGGUUCAGCCAGAUAGAUGUGAGGAUGAAGAAGAGCUCAAUGAAGACAGCACCAAAUGGCAAUAUGCCACCAGCAAGUAUCGAGAAAGCUGGCUGCAGGUACCAUGCUUGCUCGGGAAUUUGUCUGGGAAUCUUGUUUGUCUUGACUGGGUCCUCAAUUGCUGGCUGCUUGAAUCCCAAGAAACUUCCAACAAAGACCAGUGGCACGGAGAUGCCAAACCAGAGAAGGACCAGAGCAAACAUUGUCCCAAAAGGAACUGCACCAGAUGAUUUCUCACCCCAGAUAAGGGCAUUCAGGACGAAAAAGACCCCAAAGAUUAUACCAGGAAACAUGAAGGCAGUUUUGAGGGUGAUCUUCUUCCACUCGGUGCCCUUGAACAUCUUGUAGAGGCGAGACGACGUGUAACCCGCCAAUACACCCAUGAAAACCCACAGAAGGACCAUAGCAGUCAUGAGUCCUCCACGGUUUGCAGGGGAUAAGAAUCCAAGUAGCGCAAACAUCAUGGUUACCACUGUCAUGCCAAAGAACUGCACACCAGUUCCAACAUAAACGCAAAGAAGACCUGAAUGAACAGGAGGCCUGAAGGCAUCACCAUGCACUAACUUCCAUCCAGUUUCUUCUUGGGCCUCCUCCUGAUUGUCAAGCUGAUUAUAGUUUGCUAUGUCCUUGUAAAGGGUCCUCAUCAUAAUCAUGGCUAUCAUGCCAGAAAGGAAAAGAACAAUCAUCAAGGAGUUAAUGAUCGAGAACCAGUGGAUUUGGCUGUCACUGGAAAGAAGGUAGACAUCCCAGCGAGAUGCCCAUAUGAUCUCACUAGACUGCAGAAGAUCAAUUGUGAAUUAAUCAGCACGGCAGGAACAUGAAUGCCAGCAACAAAGGAUAUGAAAAAGGUAAUAUACCUCAAAGGUAACGUCGUAAGAGAAUACAACAUAUGCAUCAGGAGCCACCUCUUGAGGUGUGUGACUACCAGGAGUUAUCUUCGUGUUAGCGUUGCAAGUUUGUACUGUAGGAUUCUUGUCAUCCCAGGCACCAUAUUCAUGUUUAAUGCUGUAUGAAGGUAGACAGUGAAUAGGCAAGUUAUGAUAGGCACAUGUAUCUUCACAUAAGAUAUAAAUUUAUAAAAAGCCAAGCACUAAUUUCUACUCCCUCCAUCCCAAAAUAAGUGUCUCAAGCUUAGUACAACUUUGUACUAGUGUUAGAGACACUUAUUUUGGGACGGAGGGAUUGCUAAAUAUUGGCUAUGUUGAACAUUUACUAUAGAGAUUAAACUAUUUAUGAAAUGAUCAAAAACAUUAGAUGGACAUGAAUUUCAAUUGGUGUUCGGACUGGGCAGCUACGCAUACCCAUAACAAAACAAGAUCAAUUCGACCAUGAGGCAUGACUAAGUAUACAUAACAUACCUGCUAGGAAUCACAUGGAAGCCAACAAUACGAGCCUCUGGGGAGUUUAGGUCUUCAUGGUACAAGACUUUAAAGCUCAAGUGAUUGUUAAUAUAGUACUUGUCAUCCUUGAGCUGCCAAUAUUGUGCUCAAAUUAAACAAGUUCCUUGAUAAAUGUUUCAUGUUUCAAUGAGUAGCAAUCGACUUGGUGAGAUGCUCACCUUAUAGCCAACGCGGUAACCAUGAUCAAAGAUCGGUUGGCUCCCUUCCCGUGUCUGCCUAGGGACCACAACUGGGAGAUUAUCCAAAAUCCUGAUAGAAGGAAAGUAGAUUGUCAGGCACUGUAUUAUAUAUAGCUUAUGCGGAACAUAAACCACAAUUCUACAACUUGGACCAGUAUCAUAUGUAAGCCGGCUAGACAGUCAUGUUAAUCUUUUUUUGGCGGGGAAUGGUCAUGUUAAUCAACUGGCAAUACAACAAGAACUUCAAAAUCAGAACAUACAUGUUCACUCGAUAUUCAUCAUCGAUCUUCUCUCUGAAAUUCUUUGCAGCCUCUGCAGACAGCUUUGUUCGACAAACAACUUUGCAACUCCCAUCCCUCCUCAUCUUGAACUGCAAGAGUUGGGAAAGUGAACUUAAGUUAAUGAGUGCACAACUUAUCAUAUUAUGUUGUCGUGCUCUCUACACCCUUGAACAAACGGGCAAAAACCAUUUGUAGAGUAUUUAAUGCAAGAUACACUGGUAGUAUACUUACAUUAUAGACAGAGUUUUCAAUUCGGUCCCCACGAAGGACUUCCCCUAAGUUCUCAGCACUGUUCUUAAUCGCCUCAGGUUUGCAGUAGUCCAGGAAAUAAUAGUCAUAUGGAAGUUGUGUCUUUAUAGAUGACAGCUUGUUGACCUUCACCUGGAGAUCAUCAUCCUGCAAUAUGAACGGUUAGUCAACCUUUGAAAACCAUUGAGCAAACAGAGAAUAUACACAGGAAACAAUGGAUAAAACUUCCAAACAAUCAUAUCUAUAUACCUAAAUAGUUGAUCCCCACUAACUCAAUUAUCCUAACCUGCAACUAUGCCAACUCAUCAUGCCAUCAUGCAUACACCACUAAAUUUAAUUCUCUCGAUAUGCAACUAUGCCAAUUCACCAUGUCACCAUGCAUGCUACUCAUUCUCAAUAAAUAUUUUACAACUAUAUAAUAACCAGAUAUUGUAAAUUGUAUGUACUAUUAUUUCAAUUCUCAUAUUGCUAAUCAAAAUACUGAAGUUUCAUACUGCCAAAUCUCAUAGAAAUAACUGCAUCUAAUUCCCACAGCAACACGCGGGGUAUCAUCUCUAGUUUAGAAGUUUGGUUAUACAACUGUAAUUGCCAUAAUAAUUGAAUGGUAUGGUAAGUUGGUAACUGUCUCUCCAAAGAAAUGACAGUCACCAAUGCAACACAACAACUGGAGCUCCAUAAACAAGAGGACUCCAACAACUUGUAAAUGAUGAAAUCAAUUAACACGUCAAUUUAAUGGCACCGGAGAACAGCAUGCAAGUGUUAACAGGUGUUAAUUAAGUUAUACAGAGUGUAUCCUGUUUUCCUGAUCUCCUGAAAUUGUAAAUGUGUUAGGAGGCAACAAGAAACAACAACCAUGCACUUGUCUAUAAGGUGUGGCUUCUUCAAGUAGAUCGCGAAGCACAUAGGCAACACAUAUAGGCUUCAACAUAAACGUUACUAUUGCAGAAUAUACUUCUACACAUUUGAUUCUCAUCAGAAUAUCAUUCAAACAAGAGAACCAAAUGAGCUUAAAAUAGGUAAGGAGACUAUUUGUCUAUAUCAAACUAUAUUAUGAUGGUAUAACGGAAAGGUACCUCAGGAUAUGCAUGGUGUUUUUAGAUGAUGUGGACAUUCUAAUACAACAACUCUAGUACAUCUACAAGCAUACUACAUAAGGUAUGUUGCCGUUUCAAACAUUUUAAUUGAAGAAUGGUCUGCCUGUUGUCGUUUGCAGCCAUCAUAUGAAGAUAUUAGGCCCUAGCAAGUUAGACGAAGACAACACUUCAGUUCAUGCCACUUUCACAAGGUUUUGGUUGCAGUGUUGCAAUCUCCAUGAAACCCACCAACAUACACAACAAUAGGUACCUAACUGAAUUUUCUACCCAAAUCGCCCAAAUAGUGUACUACCCAGUAAAUACAUGUUCUCCAACAGUACAAAGGAUACUAAAUUAAACAGCGAUGAAAACAAGAGACGAAGCGAUAACGUGUCUACACCUCUAGAUGAACUCAAACAAGCAGAAACCAAAAAUCCCCUGCUUAUCAACACUUUCUGAAGUGUGACCUGCACCCAUCCCACAAUAAUACCUACGCACUGCACCAAGACACAGUUAACCACAUCGACGAAUCUCACUAUACCGUGCAAUACCAUCGCGAUUCAUGCUAAGGAGAGCUAAAAACAACAUCAGGAGUCGGCCAAUGGAACGAGGAGCCUAACCCCGACGCACCAUGCUCGACAAAAUUAACCGCACGCAAUCAAGGCCAAGCGGGCACUGCCACGUACAGCUUUCACCCUACCCGCAGGUACGCCCAGAACGCACACGCAAGCCAGCAUAAAAUCCAGACAUUCGGCUCUCCACCUCCAUUGCUCAGGUCACAAAACCCUGAACCACAGACGCACCCCCUACCAAUAAUCCUCCAAAUGCGUGGAGACCUUCCGAACCCGGGGAAACGAGGCCUGGCGAGCCAGAUCUGAGGCCGCGCCUCCCGGUACGGCUAGAUCCACCGGCGCGGGCGGCCGGGAGGCCNNNNNNNNNNNNNNNNNNNNNNNNNNNNNNNNNNNNNNNNNNNNNNNNNNNNNNNNNNNNNNNNNNNNNNNNNNNNNNNNNNNNNNNNNNNNNNNNNNNNNNNNNNNNNNNNNNNNNNNNNNNNNNNNNNNNNNNNNNNNNNNNNNNNNNNNNNNNNNNNNNNNNNNNNNNNNNNNNNNNNNNNNNNNNNNNNNNNNNNNNNNNNNNNNNNNNNNNNNNNNNNNNNNNNNNNNNNNNNNNNNNNNNNNNNNNNNNNNNNNNNNNNNNNNNNNNNNNNNNNNNNNNNNNNNNNNNNNNNNNNNNNNNNNNNNNNNNNNNNNNNNNNNNNNNNNNNNNNNNNNNNNNNNNNNNNNNNNNNNNNNNNNNNNNNNNNNNNNNNNNNNNNNNNNNNNNNNNNNNNNNNNNNNNNNNNNNNNNNNNNNNNNNNNNNNNNNNNNNNNNNNNNNNNNNNNNNCGGGGGGCGACGCCGGGGAGGUAGAAGGCGCGGGCGGGGGUGGAGACGAGGCACACGGCGGCGGCGACGAGGAAGAGGGGGAGGAGCAGGAGGCGGCCGCGCGGGCCGCCGGCGAUCGCCAUGUCGGGUGAGGCGAGGCGGGGGAGAAGCGGGGCAGUAGUGUGCGUGCCGAGAAGAGAAAAUGGGGGUGGUGCCUGCCCUGGUGGUGGGGAAGUCCCGAGCUACGACGGCCUACGGAAGGGUGCAAGUGCAAUGAGCCGAUAAACGGCCGUGAUUCGUCGACAUAAUGAAAGGAAAUGGAUUACGUAUGUGUCGUGCGGAACAAAAUUCAAAAUGGAAACCCCACCGACAGGGGAGCCGUCUUAUUCCGACCUGCACUGGAUGGUUCCCGUCAACCUCAUAUCACUUUCAUCAUUUUGGAGUCACCAGAAAGAAAAAUUUAGGUGCAUUUGUUGAAAAACACUUUACCUCAAAGACUUUUUUUUAUUUUGUAGUAUCUCUGUAAACUAAUAUAUGAGCAUUUAGAUCACUAAGUUUAUGCAGGGAGUAUGUAUUUUCUACUCGUACGUAUUAGAUGGCACUUUACCUUCUUCAACAGUUCUCUUGACAACAUGACAUACUUCCUCCGUCUGAAUUAAUUUGUCACUGAAACGAGUGUCUCCAAUUCUUUGUUAUAUUAUUUCUUCCUGCACUUCCAACUUCGUAAGUUGACAAUGCCGACCAUGCUCGUGAUCCACCGACACAGGCGCCGGUAAUAGUUUAUUACAUGUCCAAGAUCAACGGUAACCAAAUUUUUAAUUUCGAUUUGCUUAUGGCUCAGCCUCUCAGGAGCCGCCCAUUAGGCAGUCAUAAGUGACUGGUCCCCCCAUUUUCUUUCACUUCAAAAUUCCACAUAUAACACUCGGUAGAAAGAAUCUAUCGUACAGCUACAAAACCAAAUACUCUAAAAUGUUAACAGAAAGGCACUAAUGAAAUUUAAGUAUAUCCCAGUACCAAACCAAGUUUGAACAACCGUUCAAAAGCGAUCAUUCAAAGUCACCGAAACGAUCAACAUUAAAAAGACGAGGCAAACCAAAAUGACUACACUACGCUUUCUCUACGCUUGGUUCGGCGCAACUUGCAACCCCUGGUAAAAUAGUCUCCACUGCAACUUUCUCAUGCACACGGCAACAAAUUACUGUGCGUUUCAAGUUUCAGAAAAGUAAAGAAGACAGCCCGGUGCAUGUAGCUCCGGCUUGGGCAUGUUUCUACAGGAAGGGUCCAUUCCCUACAUUUCUAUCUAAGAGGCUGUUUUCAGGACUUAACCCAUGACAUGGUCACAAGGCAGCAGAUUUACCACUGCGCCAAGGCUCCCCUUCCCAGAAAAGUAAAUUAGUACCAAGAGAAAAUAAUUACAGCCUAGAGGUUACAGACAGAACCCAUGUAGUUGACGAUGUACACCAGCACGUGCAGUCCAGCACAGUUUAUUGCCCCAUCUUUAUUCAUACACAAAAGUAGAUACAACCAGCGUGUUCGAGCAUCUUGGCCUAGAAUGCUCUUGCUAACAGUUCCGGUAAGUGAAACCAAAAAAGAGCUCAUGUGCGUUGGUUCAACAUUCAACAAUACAGGAGAUAAUAUUACACAAGACAAUAAUAUUACAGAAGACGCCGUGACCCAAGAAAUCUACAGAUAACAUAUGCUCGCUGACUCAAAGAAUGGGAUCUGACUAUAUAAUUACUACAGCAAAAAGGCCAGAAGUUUGAACUGCUCAAUUUAUUCAAUCUGCACUCGAGAAAACAUUGGAUCUCCCAACAAAGAUGAGAUCAG